rnacentral:misc_RNA from 1 species
ACCAACAUGAAGAGAUCAGUUCCUGUAAAAAAAAGGCAAUUUGAGCACAUUACAGGCUUGUGUCGGUUAGGAGUGGAUUGGAGGGAUUGCUAGUCAAAUUUGAAUAGAAAGGGAUUUAAUCCCCAUCAAUCCGGUGUGAUGAUUAUAUGUGCGGCUCGGUGGCACAUAUCAUAUCAGUGGUGUUAUCUUUCCACUUGGUGAUCUAUGCAAUGGUGCUGACCACACAUAUUCCAAGGGCACUCCCUUAAAACCAUUUAUCAGGCUAACCUUCAGACACAGAUGAGGAUUCUGUUUCUAGUUUGGAGUACUUAACUAGGAUUUGCAUGUUUUCUUCUCUUGCAAAAGGAUGUCUUUCAGCCAACAAAGCACUCAUAUCGCAAGCACCUAAAGCAGCCUCUUCUGGUAGGUUGUACAGAUACCUAGACUGCCCAAGACAGUGAUCAUGUGCAUUAUGCAAACUCAGAGUUUCCAUCCACUUUUUCGUGAAUCCUCUCCCAAUUAUAAACCAAGUAUAGUGACGGUGGUUGGGGAACCAUACUCAUCUGGUCAUCUUCUCACCGCCUUCCUAUCAUCUUCCAAUCUCUUCGAUCGAGCACCCAGAGCAACAAAUAUCCAGCCCUGUCACACAUUCCGACUCAAGCACGCACAAAACCCUUUCAAUCAAGCGUCCAGACUCCAGAUGAGGUUUAAACCAGUAGGAUCUGAAGGAAGCCUUGAGCGAUUCCAAAACGGCGAAGGGACAUGGAUGUCAUCACGGGGCUGGGGCAUACCGGGUGGAGGGGCCGUGCAGAGA